rnacentral:rRNA from 1 species
UACGGGGGGGGUAAGCGUUGUUCGGAAUUACUGGGCGUAAAGGGCUCGUAGGCGGCCAACUAAGUCGGCCGUGAAAUCCCUCAGCUUAACUGGGGAACUGCGUCCGAUACUGGAUGGCUUGGAUUUGGGAGAGGGAUGCGGAAUUCCAGGUGUAGCGGUGAAAUGCGUAGAUAUCUGGAGGAACACCGGUGGCGAAGGCGGCAUCCUGGACCAAUAUUGACGCUGAGGAGCGAAAGCCAGGGGAGCAAACGGG